rnacentral:rRNA from 1 species
UACGGAGGAUGCGAGCGUUAUCCGGAUUUAUUGGGUUUAAAGGGUGCGUAGGCGGACUGUCAAGUCAGCGGUAAAAUUGAGAGGCUCAACCUCUUCCCGCCGUUGAAACUGGUGGUCUUGAGUGGAUGAGAAGUACGCGGAAUGCGUGGUGUAGCGGUGAAAUGCAUAGAUAUCACGCAGAACCCCGAUUGCGAAGGCAGCAUGCCGGCUUCCGACUGACGCUGAAGCACGAAAGCGUGGGGAUCGAACAGG